rfam:TPA: Bos taurus chromosome 20, whole genome shotgun sequence.
UCCUUUUUGGCUCAGACAGUAAAGCAUCUGCCUGCAGUGCAGGAGACCUGGGUUCAAUCCCUUGGUCAGGAA